rnacentral:rRNA from 1 species
CCCGCUGAACUUAAGCAUAUCAAUAAGCGGAGGAAAAGAAACUAACAAGGAUUCCCCUAGUAACUGCGAGUGAAGCGGGAAAAGCUCAAAUUUAAAAUCUGGUGGUCUUUGGCCAUCCGAGUUGUAAUUUAGAGAAGCGUCUUCCGCGCUGGACCGUGCACAAGUCUCCUGGAAUGGAGCGUCACAGAGGGUGAGAAUCCCGUCUUUGGCAUGGACACACCAGGGCUUUUGUGAUGCGCUCUCGAAGAGUCGAGUUGUUUGGGAAUGCAGCUCAAAAUGGGUGGUGAACUCCAUCUAAAGCUAAAUAUUGGCGAGAGACCGAUAGCGAACAAGUACCGUGAGGGAAAGAUGAAAAGCACUUUGGAAAGAGAGUGAAACAGUACGUGAAAUUGUUGAAAGGGAAACGCUUGAAGUCAGUCGCGUCGACCGAGACUCAGCCUCGCCUCGGCUUGGUGUACUUCUCGGCUGACGGGUCAGCAUCAAUUUUGCCUCUUGGAUAAUGGCGGGGGAAAUGUGACACCUUUACGGUGUGUUAUAGUCUCUCGUCGCAUGCAAGGGUCGGGAUUGAGGAACUCAGCACGCGCCUUCGGGUGUCGGGGCUUUUGCCCACGAUACGUGCUUAGGAUGUUGGCGUAAUGGCUUUAAACGACCUGUCGCGAAACACGG